rnacentral:rRNA from 1 species
GACGAACGCUGGCGGCGUGCCUAAUACAUGCAAGUUGAGCGCUGAAGGUUGGUACUUGUACCGACUGGAUGAGCAGCGAACGGGUGAGUAACGCGUGGGGAAUCUGCCUUUGAGCGGGGGACAACAUUUGGAAACGAAUGCUAAUACCGCAUAAAAACUUUAAACACAAGUUUUAAGUUUGAAAGAUGCAAUUGCAUCACUCAAAGAUGAUCCCGCGUUGUAUUAGCUAGUUGGUGAGGUAAAGGCUCACCAAGGCGAUGAUACAUAGCCGACCUGAGAGGGUGAUCGGCCAAAUUGGGACUGAGACACGGCCCAAACUCCUACGGGAGGCAGCAGUAGGGAAUCUUCGGCAAUGGACGAAAGUCUGACCGAGCAACGCCGCGUGAGUGAAGAAGGUUUUCGGAUCGUAAAACUCUGUUGGUAGAGAAGAACGUUGGUGAGAGUGGAAAGCUCAUCAAGUGACGGUAACUACCCAGAAAGGGACGGCUAACUACGUG